rnacentral:rRNA from 1 species
AUACGUAGGGGGCGAGCGUUGUCCGGAAUUACUGGGCGUAAAGGGUGCGUAGGUGGCACUUUAAGUUGGAUGUGAAAUCCCCGUGCUUAACAUGGGAGCUGCAUCCAAUACUGGAGAGCUAGAGUGCAGGAGAGGUAAGCGGAAUUCCUAGUGUAGCGGUGAAAUGCGUAGAUAUUAGGAGGAACACCAGUGGCGAAGGCGGCUUACUGGACUGUAACUGACACUGAGGCACGAAAGCGUGGGGAGCAAACAGGAUUAGAUACCCUGGUAGUCCACGCGGUAAACGAUGAAUACUAGGUGUUGGCAUCCGAAGGAUGUCGGUGCCGUCGCUAACGCAAUAAGUAUUCCACCUGGGGAGUACGUUCGCAAGAAUGAAACUCAAAGGAAUUGACGGGG